UUAAAGUGAUACCCUAAAAGAACAACAAAAAUGUCAAGAUUAUGUCAAUUGGUCAGGAUUCCUCAUGCCUUGAAUAUUCAGAUGAUGCUGUGAAUUUCAUUAGACAUCAGUGCUUUAUUGACCCCUUCACCCAAACAAUCUCAUAGCAGUCAAGUACUCAGAGCUCAGGACAGUAGAAGUUGAAUCAUCUCAAGAAACAAAGAAGGGUUGAAAGAGUAUACUUUUGAGGUCUGAAAGGUCUUCUGAUAACGGACAUUUGUUUGUGAACCUACUACAAACAGUCUCAGCAGCAAGCACCGCUCUGACUUUGAAGUCUGGAACUUGGAAAAUGUGCAGUCAUUUGAUACUACCACCUUCUUUUCUGAAUCUGCCAAGCAGUUUCUUCCUAAAGAUGAAAAACUAGAUUCAAGAAGCUUAAGAACUUGCACGGAGGAAAGUGGUGAAGUAAAAGUUUCCUCCAUAACAUAGGGGGAGCCCGAGUCUGUACAUUUUCUCUUUCUCUUUCUGCCUUUCAGAAUAAAGACCAGGAAUCU